rnacentral:rRNA from 1 species
UGCCAGCAGCCGCGGUAAUACCCAGGGUGCGAGCGUUAAUCGGAUUUACUGGGCGUAAAGCGUGCGUAGGCGGCUUAUUAAGUCGGAUGUGAAAUCCCCGAGCUUAACUUGGGAAUUGCAUUCGAUACUGGUGAGCUAGAGUAUGGGAGAGGAUGGUAGAAUUCCAGGUGUAGCGGUGAAAUGCGUAGAGAUCUGGAGGAAUACCGAUGGCGAAGGCAGCCAUCUGGCCUAAUACUGACGCUGAGGUACGAAAGCAUGGGGAGCAAACAGGAUUAGAUACCCUGGUAGUCCAUGCCGUAAACGAUGUCUACUAGCCGUUGGGGCCUUUGAGGCUUUAGUGGCGCAGCUAACGCGAUAAGUAGACCGCCUGGGGAGUACGGUCGCAAGACUAAAACUCAAAUGAAUUGACGGGGGCCCGCACAAGCGGUGGAGCAUGUGGUUUAAUUCGAUGCAACGCGAAGAACCUUACCUGGCCUUGACAUACUAGAAACUUUCCAGAGAUGGAUUGGUGCCUUCGGGAAUCUAGAUACAGGUGCUGCAUGGCUGUCGUCAGCUCGUGUCGUGAGAUGUUGGGUUAAGUCCCGCAACGAGCGCAACCCUUU